GAUCCUGGCUCAGGAUGAACGCUAGCUACAGGCUUAACACAUGCAAGUCGAGGGGCAGCGGGAUUGAAGCUUGCUUCAAUUGCCGGCGACCGGCGCACGGGUGAGUAACGCGUAUCCAACCUUCCGUACACUCAGGGAUAGCCUUUCGAAAGAAAGAUUAAUACCUGAUGGUAUCUUAAGCACACAUGUAAUUAAGAUUAAAGAUUUAUCGGUGUACGAUGGGGAUGCGUCNCUAGUAGUAGG
rnacentral:rRNA from 1 species